ACAGCGUAAAAUAUAGUGCACAUGCAUUAUGUCCAUGUUACAGGAAGACUUCCUGAGGCAGAAAGCCAUGGAAAGUAUGUGGCUAGGUCCAUACUAGGUAAUAGGGUAUAGUAUGCGUUUUACAACUAUACGAGAGAAACUUCUGCAAUAGGUGCAAGCAUUGCUAGAGAAGGCAUGCAGAGUGAUGGUUUGUUCUUAUGCCCCCCUUUGUGCAUUGAGCCAUACAAUGGAAAAGAGAUAAAAGGAAAGAGGGACAAAGAAAUUGUAGAAUUGCUUGUACAGGUCACUUUUUGUUUUCAUCACUGUGGUGACUAUUAAUUUGAUCAACUAGCUUGUUCCCAGCAUCUAUUUCCGAGGCACGAUUAUAAUUUAUACUGAAAAUCAUCUUUGUAUUGGGGCCUCCUUUCUGGUGAAUUUGCUGUCCAGAUGCAGAUUAAUAAAGCACAGAUACUUAGGUCCCAUUGAUGUAAAUGACAUCUAUAAGCUUAGAAGAUCCGUGUGGAUUUUCAUGGUAAAACUCCGACUACGAAUGUCAGGAAGUUCAUUUGAGAUGCUAAAAUGACAUCAGAAACGAGAUGCUAAAAUGACAGGGAUAUUGAGUGGAAUUUUCUUUGCCUGCACUCAGACAUUCUUGCCACACUUUUCUGCCAGAUUCUUCUCUGAUUUCAAUUAGGUUUUAAUUAGCUUAUUUAUAUAUGAGAUGAUGCAAAAGAUCUGUUUUUUUCUCCCUCAUCUGCUCUUUGACUAAUGCAAUUGCAGUCAUUGCCAGCAUAUAUGUACAACACAUUGCAUAGAAGAGCUGCAUGAUGACCUCCCCACUGUAUAAGUGAAGAAGUAGAUUAGAUGCUUCAAAUAGUUGGCAAUGAGAAUUUAGCAGAAGAACCAUGUGCAGGUGCUUCUGUAUUCGCCCCUAAACCUACCUCGCUGUGAGUUAUGUGGGUGAGAGUGUGAGAUACUGGGCUGAAGCCGGCAACCCCAGCCGACUUCAGCCCAACACCCCUUUUGGAAGGGGCGGAACAGGGGAUCGCAGACGCGAUCCCCUCCGACUUCUUCGGGCACGAGGACGUUGCUGCACCGUG
rnacentral:lncRNA from 1 species